UACGGGGGGUGCGAGCGUUGUCCGGAAUCACUGGGCGUAAAGGGCGCGUAGGUGGUUUGAUAAGGGUGUGGUGAAAGUCCGGAGCUCAACUCCGGAUCUGCCGUGCCGACUGUCAAACUCGAGGGCUGUAGAGGCAGACGGAAUUCCGGGUGUAGCGGUGGAAUGCGUAGAGAUCCGGAGGAAGACCGGUGGCGAAGGCGGUCUGCUGGGCAGUUUCUGACACUGAUGCGCGACAGCGUGGGGAGCAAACAGG
rnacentral:rRNA from 1 species